ACCUUCAUUGGUGUAGUUGGUAGUGCCUUUGCUUAAUAAUUAAGUGUCUUAGGUUCGAGUCCUGGUCAGGGGA